rnacentral:lncRNA from 1 species
GGAGGAAGAAAAACAGAUCUGAUUACCGUACGGCGUAAAUCUAACCGAAAGGGGAUCCUCCAGUUUUAUCUGCGCCAGCUCCGGUUUCCACGCGUCAGUUACGCAACAGACAGAUUUUAAACAGAUUAAUUGCAGAUUAAUCACCUUAAACACUCAACAGCUACUCUUUUCAACGGACUGCUGACCACUUUAAUGACAUAGAGCCCCGCCAAUCUCGGGGGCUGCGGGUACUGUACCCGAUGGUCAAUUUUUUCUUUUUCAAGAUUUC